GCCAGACCUACAGGAGGGCCACGGCUGUAACUUAAGGGGCAGGUUGAGCAUUUUUCUGAAACUUCUAUGCACAGGGAAGACUAGCCUUAGUCUGAAACUGGGAGGAGCAAGUGAAUUAAACGCUCAAGGCCAGCAGCAGCAAGCCACAAAGGCAAGCAGCAUCGGCAAGCAAAACAACCA